rnacentral:lncRNA from 1 species
CCAUCGGAACUGCGGCUGGCCGCGACAUUGUGCCCUUUCUCCAAGCCUGAGUUCACGCGCGAGAGGGAGACAUCCUCGCUAUGUAUGAUUUGUCCUUGAGGCUGCCGUUGGCGAAACUGCUGCCGUUAGAGAAGCUGGACAUGGCUGUGGUUGUUCGACCAGGGUCGCGCUUUCUCCCUCGCCGUCGCCAAACUUGUCGCCGUCAAUUCCACUCCUCUGCCCCUUUGUCUCUAUACUUUGAUUGGGUUCAGCUAUAAGGGUUAGAGAAGAUGAGUCACGGGAUUAGCAAGAGGCCGUGCUCGAAGGGUUCACGCCUUGUGUGAAUCCAGUGCCUGGGUCCCUCGCCAGUGAAGAUGAAGACACUGUUUUGUUCAUUUUUUCUAUUGUAUUUUUCUGGUGAAUACGCAGUUUAAUGGUUCAAGCUCAUUGUUGAUGAUUGGGGAUGGACAGAGGCGUGGGGGGUCUUAGUUUGUGGUUGCUGGAAAUUGGUUCUUGUUCUUGGUGGUUGUUUUUUUUUUAAUUUUGUGGUUUUGUGCAGUGCAGGUUGAGGAGGUUUAGGAUGAUGGUGUUGGGAUCAUAUUGGGUUGGCUUGGUCUUUUCUUUUUUUUAAAAUGCAGGACCUAUGAACGUGGUUUGACAAGAGUGGCAAAAAAGGGAUAUUUAGUGGUAGAAACAUGUAAAGGAAGCCAUUCAGCNGCGGAGGAAUCAAGGAGUGGAUAUGGGUUGAUGGUCGUGCUCGGUAACAAUGGAGACUAAUGGAGGUUAUUAUAGAAGGCAAAGGUGAUGGUGAUUGAACACAUAUNGGUUUCAAGUUUAAGAUGGAAUAUGGUUGCAGAUUGGAUGGUGAUGGAGAAUGGGAAAGACUUAUGCCACAAAAUCACAUACAAAUAUCCAUCACAUAGCAGGAAUGUAUUCAUCAGCAAUCAUAUGCAAACAUAACGUAACAAAAGGACGUUCAAGGGCAAGCAAACAACUCAGUGAAACAUGGAGUGCAAGGUAUCGCUUACUUCUUGGAGAUCCGUUUGCUAUAGUCAACCUUGUAUGCAAUACUUUCUCUUCUCUGUAAAUGAAGAUGUUUUCUCGAGGAUGAAGAUUCUUGAUUCAGUGACCAGAGUUUUUUGGAGCCAUGGAGUUCUAAAGAGUUGAUUAAUCUCUUGAAUGCCUNGCGUAAGUGUGUAGAGUGGAGUGUGAAUAGAGAGUCCUUAGAGGAGUUGAGAGUAGUCUUUCCUUAUCACAGGCCAAGGUCAAGUCCCUNCUANGCUGCCAUCCAGCCACUAAGCAUAGACUGAGAAUCAGAAGCCGCCUGGCAAAACCACUGUCAAACGCCAUUCUUCUUUAAUUCAUAAUUGGUGACAGAAACCAGGGUGCACAGGGAUUCUUUCCAGAAAACGAAAGUUUGAUGGCUUGUGGAGGCGUCUGUUGUUGUGUGUUGCAGGAGGUUUAGUCUUGUGUUACAGGAAAGCUUAAUUCAUGUUUGCGCGACUGAGAAGGGAAAGAAAGCAACAGUCUGCCAUACCNUUUUUUAUUUUCUUUUUCCUUAGAAUUUUUUUGUUAAUGUUUAACAUAAAAAAUAAAAAUAAAACUAAACAAUAAAAGAAACUAACGUAAAAUAAAACGAAAUAACUCUAAAUAACAAAAAGUAAAAUAAAAUAAAAAGUAAAAAUGGAAUUAAAAUAUAAAAACUAAUAUAAAAAUGAAAAAAAAAAGAUAAAUAAAUAAAAUAAAAUAAAAUAAGUAAAAAUAAAAAUUAGAUAAUAUAACAAAAAAUAAAUUGAUAAAAAGACAUAAUAUAAAAUAAAAUAAUAUAUUUUUGUCACCCGGACGAAAUUGGGUGUUGACACACUGCAAUGCUGUUAUAAUUCAAGGGGCCAACUAUUAGCUGCGUCCCCUAGAGUGCAUCUGGGAGGAGGUUGAUUGGCCAUUUCCUCAAGAUUUGGUGCAAAAGUCUCAAUUGGAAAAUGUGAAGUAACUUCUGGAGAAAGAGAUCUUUCACACAAAGGGCGUCUCUUCCUCCUCUCGUAUGGUAGGCCUUCUAGCAGAGGUUGUUGGUUUUUCCUGCUUCUAGUAUGUAUUGUUUCCUGCAUGCACAAGAAACACACCCUAAAAGCACUUUUAUAGAAAAUAAAACAAAAUGCAAUAAAAGAAAAAUAAACAAAAAUAAUUACAACCAAGUCAAAUUCAAUCAAUUCACACUACUAGACAAAUAAACCUCGAGUCCCCGGCAAUGGCGCCAAAAACUUGUUGACAAAUUGGCAAGUGUACCAAAUCGUACAAGUAAUAUAAAUGGUAAGACCAAGUAUCGUUCUUCCCAAGAGACUCGUAUGGCUUUCUCGUUCGCGUGAAUUAAAAUAAUAAGACUUGAAAAAUAAAAUUUAAUAAAUUGGAUUUGAGGAUAAAAAUAUUAACAUGCAAAAAUAAAGUUGAUUCAAUUGACAAACGAAAAUAAUGGAUGGAUGGAUGUUGUUGGGUACUAACAAUUUCAUCUAUUCCANUCUCUCUUACAUACUACCCUUGACUAUUAGAUUGAUUAAUUGUUAUGCGACUUUCUAAGCCUCCCCUUAACCCGAUCCCUCAGCGAAAAGGGCCUAAAAUCGCUAAAAACAACUUUUGACUCUCUCCAGACUCAUUUAUUGAGUUUUGCUUGAUUCUGAGCUCAUUCCAUGUAGUAAAGGGUGUAAUUUGGUCCAAAUUGACAUAUGAAAAUAACUGUUUUUCAACCUUUAUCAACAUCAUUCCCC